UACGUAGGGUGCAAGCGUUGUCCGGAAUUAUUGGGCGUAAAGAGCUCGUAGGCGGUCUGUCGCGUCUGCUGUGAAAACCUGGGGCUCAACCCCGGGCCUGCAGCCGAUACGGGCAAGCUAGAAUUCAGUAGGGGAGACUGGAAUUCCUGGUGUAGCGGUGAAAUGCGCAGAUAUCAGGAGGAACACCGGUGGCGAAGGCGGGUCUCUGGGCCGAAAUUGACGCUGAGGAGCGAAAGCGUGGGGAGCGAACAGG
rnacentral:rRNA from 1 species